rnacentral:tmRNA from 1 species
GGCCUUUUUUCGUCAACCUUCGCCCCCUAUAUUGAGAGGGCCGGUUCGCCGGCUAUGGAAAUAAAUGGCCGUCGUAAUAAACCAUUCGGACCCGGGGGCAGCACCCGGCGCCUCCACCAAAGCCCGAAUUGCCCAGCCAGCGCUGGCGGGCUUCGGCGGGGGCGAAACAGGAUCGACGAGGGCGUAAAGGGCGAGUUUUUUCCCGGUAUUGUUCCGCCGUUAUCGGGCUACGCAAUAGUUGCAAACGACAACUAUGCUCCGGUUGCUCAGGCUGCGUAACGCAGUUUGAAAGACCAUCUUAAAGUCCUGACGGGUUAAGCUCCGGCAGGCGGGGUUCGGAGGCACCUGGCAACAGAAGCCUCCACU